AAGUGAUUGGAUUCUAGCACACUCCAAUCAAGCAUCAGCUUUGGUUCUUAUGACGCAGUCACUAACAUCACACACGACCAAAACAGCAGGGCGCUCUCUCAAGUCUCCUCUUACUGUGCCAUCGUGGGGAACAGUCUCAUGUGGCAAACAACAAUCAUUCACAUUUUUACAUCUUUUAGUAGAGUUCUUGAUUUAGUAAAAAUCAGACUUAGGUCAAGUUGGACAUUACUGAACUGCUGGCCACACUGCAAGCCCAGGUUAGAGCUGGAGUCAGUCCCAGAGAGACUGGAAGGAGAAAGUAUCCCACACUCAUUUUAAAGUAAAUAAAAAGAUUCUCAAGUAUAUUUCUCCAUCUUUCAAUAUUUUGAGCAUUUUCAGACACUUAGAGAGUGUGAGCAAAAAUAUUUAAUCUUUAAGUUAACAGAGGGGCUUAAAAACAAUAAGAUACUGCAGCAAUCUGAGGACUGAGGGGCUUCAGGAUGACUUUAAGAAGAGACUUCUGCAGAGCUCAGAUGCUCGAUACGCAAAGGAAAUCUGUCGGAGCGGCGUCCAGCUAGCUCCGUGCGUGCACAGACACUUGAGCAUUAUUUUCCUGGCACUCAGCAAUUCAUUCCCCAGACCUGAGAACAUCAUCUAAAUCUUAAUUGACGCCAUAGCUACACUUGACUGGGAGAGGAAGACGAGUCCAGGCUCCAUAUAGCAUGAUAUGGAGCUGGAGAGGAGGGGAGAGGAGAACAGAAGGCAAGGUGGGAAAGGACACCUGGCAGAGACAACAUCUGGAUCCUGAACCUGGAGGAGAAAUCCACUUAUAUCUCACUUUAGAUUUGCCAGCUGCUUUUAUUUUUAUUUGGACUUACAGAAAGGUUGAGAAGAAAAUACGGGAGUGAACUGUAGCAAUAAACGGUUUGUGGGUAAUUUUGGUACUUUAAUGUGGCUUCUAAAAUGUGUACUACAUGACUUAGGAAGGAAUAUUUAAGGAGCCCAGCUGCACUAACGUGGGUUGCUAUUGUGUUAUUACUAAAAUAGCUGAGAGAGACUCUCUGUGCAGUCACCCUAAGUGAGUUAUUUUGAGUGAGUUGCUAUGGUGGUAUGACCUGCAUGUAUGACUAAACAUACAAAAAAGCCAAAAGGCCAGAAAUGAAGUGUCAGCUAUGAAGAUGCUAGUGAUAAAAGCCUACCCCAAAGCAAUGACAGAUACUUUGAAAAUACUUUGAGGGAAUAAAGCACUCUUAGGGAACACAGGGUUUGAAGUAGGACUGUGUUGUUAUUAUUGAGUUAUUUUCCAAUAAUUUUCGAGAGUCUGCCACAGCUUUGAGGCCAGUCUUUUAUAUCAUUGCCCAGGCAGGGGCUCCAUAGCUCAGGGGUUAGAGCACUGCUCUUGUAGUAUCAUUGCCCUACACAAGUGAAUUUGGGUAAAAAGGAAAACAGAAGGAACUUUAACAGGCAAGUAUGGAGACUGAAGUUCCACAGUAGCCCCUAGCACCAAAUAAAAGUACAACAGGUCUCAAUCAUCACUUCCAGGCAUUGAGAGAAGAAGUGCGAUUUUUGAGUCUUGACUUUUGGAAUCUGCAAGAGUAAGUAAAUGGCUCUCUGUGUCUGUCUGGUGCCUAGGGCCAGCUCUCUCCUCUGACACUGUCCUCAUUAGCAUGCUAGGUGAGCAUGACAACUCCGCUAGUCAGAUAUCACUACAUCCUCAACUUCACAGAGGUGGUCUCUCAUCUACCAUAUUUUCUGAACACCAAUUCACAGUGCAGUACUGGGCAAGCUACAUAAAAAUUUCCUGCGAAGUUUGUAACAUUUUUUUAAAGCUAAAAAUUAGAGAUUCUGAUUCUGGCCUGAACCUUGGGAAUGUGUAUUUUUUAAAAGUUUCCCGAGUGAUUUUCAUGGGGAAUUAGUUUAAAAAACACUGGUAUAGACUUUCCACUUUGGAAUUUAAUCAGGUUGUGUUUUUUUAAAUUUCACCUAUUGCUGUGUUGGGGCUACUUACCUAGAUGUGAGGGCUAUAUGACCCCACCCCUA
rnacentral:lncRNA from 1 species